ACGAACGCUGGCGGCGUGGAUUAGGCAUGCAAGUCGAACGCGAAAGAGGGGGCAACUCCUCGAGUAGAGUGGCGAACGGGUGAGUAACGCGUGAAGAACCUGCCUUCGAGAGGGGGAUAACACUCCCAACGGGGUGCUAAUACCGCAUGAGACCACGGAGCUGCAUGGCUCUGUGCUCAAAGGUGGCCUCUAUUUAUAAGCUACCGCUCGAAGAUGGCUUCGCGUCCCAUUAGCUAGUUGGCGGUGUAAGAGACCACCAAGGCGACGAUGGGUAGCUGGUCUGAGAGGAUGGUCAGCCACACUGGGACUGAGAUACGGCCCAGACUCCUACGGGAGGCAGCAGUCGAGAGGCUUCGGCAAUGGGGGAAACCCUGACCGAGCGACGCCGCGUGGGGGAUGAAGGCCCUUGGGUUGUAAACCCCUUUUGUUCGGGAAGAAAUGCGAUCAGGUGAACAAUCUGGUCGUUUGACGGUACCGGACGAAUAAGCUCCGGCUAACUCCGUGCCAGCAGCCGCGGUAACACGGGGGGGAGCAAGCGUUGUUCGGAAUCACUGGGCGUAAAGGGCGUGUAGGCGGUCGAGUAAGUGGAAUGUGAAAUACUCCGGCUCACCCGGAGCACUGCAUCCCAAACUGCUCGGCUUGAGUAUGGGAGAGGACAAGGGAAUUCCUGGUGUAGCGGUGAAAUGCGUAGAUAUCAGGAGGAACACCGGUGGCGAAAGCGCUUGUCUGGCCCAAUACUGACGCUGAUGCGCGAAAGCUAGGGGAGCAAACGGGAUUAGAUACCCCGGUAAGUCCUAGCCGUAAACGUUGGGUGCUAGGUGUGGGGCGGCGUUGACCCGCUCCAGUGCCGUAGCUAACGCAUUAAGGCAUCCCGCCUGGGGAGUACGGCCGCAAGGCUAAAACUCAAAGGAAUUGACGGGGGCCCGCCACAAGCGGCGGAGCAUGUGGCUUAAUUCGACGCAACGCGAAGAGCCUUACCAGGGCUUGACAUGCUCGGGGUAGCCUGCGAAACAGGCUCCCUUUCGGGGCCGCUGCACAGGUGCUGCAUGGCUGUCGUCAGCUCGUGCCGUGAGGUGUUGGCCUUAAGUGCGCAACGAGCGCAACCCCUUGUCCCUAUGUUGCUCAGCGAGUCAUGUCGGGGACUCUAUGGAGGACUGCCGGUGCCAAACCGGAGGAAGGUGGGGAUGACGUCAAGUCAUCAUGGCCCUUACUGCCUGCGGGCUACACAGUGCUACAAUGGCCUUGCUACAGAGGGUAGCAUCCCGCAAGGGUGGAGCGUAAUCCCAAAAAAGCAGGUCUCAGUUCGGAUCUGGGUCUGCAACUCGACCCUGCAUGAAGUCGGAAGUCGCUAGUAAUCGCAGAUCAGCAAGCGCUGCGGUGAAUACGUUCCCGGGCCUUGUACACACCGCCCGUCACAGCCACGAAAGUGGGUAACACCGAAGUCGGUGUGCCUAACCCUUGUAAGGAGGGCAGCCGCCUAAGGUAAGACCAGCUGAUUGGGGCU
rnacentral:rRNA from 1 species